GCGGAAACAAUGACCCGGGGUGGUGGUGACAGCGGGGCCUCGAGUGGUGAACACAGGGUCCGGGGAAGACGGACAAUAUGGAACGGAAGGGGCAAAGGGACCAUUAUCAAGGCGGAGGUGUGCGGCGGGUCACCUGCCACAUUUGGAAGGAACCUCCGGACCUGUCAUCAGUUCUUCCUGAGUAUCAUGAUCUAGCUCCUGUGUUCAGCAAGCACCAUCCCAUGUCGCUGCCGCCUCAUCGGCCGUACGACGGUGGGUCCUGGGUCUUCCUCCACGAACCUAGCCAAUGACGUGCUGACGGAUGUGAUUGGACGCUUCGUUUUUGUCUAUUUAGAUGACAUCCUGAUUAUUUCCAAGGACCCUGAGGCUCACCAGCAACACGUUGGCCACAUUCUUUUUUACAGACACAAUCUAUUUUACAGUAGUUAUAUAUAUAUAUAUAUAUAUUUUAGGACUUCCUCUAUCUCUGAUGUCCAUCCAGUUUGAUUUCUAUUUGUAAAUUCCUGAAUUUAUAUACAUUUUACAGACCCUGUAUGUUUUACAUUGGUUAUCUUGUUAUUAGUCCCACCCUUCAGCUCCAUUCAACCCCUCCCAUCUAUCUCUUAACACCAUCCAUUUUGGAUUUCUAUUUGCCAUUUAUUUUUCAACUGUGCUGUGAGGCUUCACAAAAGUACUGAACCAUUCUAUUCUCAUAGCUUCUACAGAUUGUAAAUUAAAAAUAAACAUUUUUGCUAAAAUAA